rnacentral:rRNA from 1 species
UACGAAGGGGGCUAGCGUUGCUCGGAAUCACUGGGCGUAAAGCGCACGUAGGCGGCUUUUUAAGUCAGGGGUGAAAUCCUGGAGCUCAACUCCAGAACUGCCUUUGAUAUUGGGAAGCUUGAGUCCGGAAGAGGUGAGUGGAACUCCGAGUGUAGAGGUGAAAUUCGUAGAUAUUCGGAAGAACACCAGUGGCGAAGGCGGCUCACUGGUCCGGUACUGACGCUGAGGUGCGAAAGCGUGGGGAGCAAACAGG